rnacentral:rRNA from 1 species
AUGCCGGCGGUGAUGUCCGGCGGCACAGCCGGCGUUGACGGCGGCGGUCGAUCCCUCGACUGCCGCAGCUUCUGGAAGGCCGGCGCCAGCGAGACCCCCUCCGCCCCCAUCCGCGAGUUCCACGAUGCGCUGGAGACAGGGGACUUCGACCGCGCCCGCGUGCACCCCAAGUUCCUCCACACCAACGCCACCUCCCACAAGUGGGCGUUCGGAGCUAUAUCUGAACUUCUUGACAAUGCGGUAGAUGAGAUCUGCAAUGGUGCCACAUUCAUAAAAGUGGAUAAAAGCACCAACACGAAAGACAACAGUCCAAUGCUAGUUUUUCAAGACGAUGGAGGAGGAAUGGAUCCCGAAGGGGUGCGCCAAUGCAUGAGUCUAGGAUUCUCAACCAAGAAAUCAAAGACAACCAUUGGCCAGUAUGGAAACGGCUUUAAAACGAGCACAAUGAGACUCGGUGCUGAUGCAAUUGUUUUUACUCGUGCAAUACGUGAAAACAAUGUUACCUUGAGUAUUGGUUUGCUCUCUUACACUUUCCUGAGGAGAACAAUGAAGGAUGACAUAGUUGUCCCCAUGCUCGAUUUUGUAGUCCAAGAUGGCCAAAUAGCACCUUUGGUUUAUGGUUCACAGGGUGAUUGGGAUAGUAGCCUAAAGAUAAUACUUGACUGGUCCCCUUUUUCUUCGAAGGAAGAACUGCUACAGCAGUUCGAGGAUAUGGAUAGUCAUGGAACUAAGGUGCUGAUAUACAAUUUAUGGAUGAAUGACGAUGGCCUUUUAGAACUUGACUUUGAUGAUGAUGAUGAGGACAUAUUGCUUCGGGAUCAAGGUCAAAACAGUGGGGCGUCAACGAAGGUUCAAAAAGAAAUUAUUCAGCAACAUAUAUCUCACAGACUGAGAUUCUCAUUACGUGCAUAUAGCUCCAUCCUUUACCUCAAGAAGUUUGAGAACUUCCAAAUUAUACUAAGAGGAAAGCCUGUUGAACAGAUAAACAUUGCCAAUGAGCUGAAGUUUAAGAAAGUAGUUACUUACAAACCUCAAGUUGCCUAUGAUUCUCAAGUGGUGUCAGUGAGGGUAGAUAUUGGCUUUGCAAAAGAGGCUCCUGUUUUGGGCAUUUUUGGGAUUAAUGUCUACCAUAAAAAUCGACUAAUCAUGCCAUUCUGGAAGGUCCUUCAAGAAGCAUCUAGUAGAGGGAGAAGUGUUAUAGGUGUACUAGAGGCAAAUUUUAUUGAGCCGGCACAUGACAAGCAAGAUUUUGAGAGGACUCCACUGUUCAUUAGGCUGGAAACAAAACUGAAACAAAUUAUCGUUGAUUAUUGGAAAGAAAAGUGUCAUCUAAUAGGUUACCAGCCAAUCGAUCCGAAAUUGAGAUCCCAGUAUAAGGCUGCUCUUAAAGAUUCGGGCGGCCCUGGUGUGAAGAUUCGGCAUGAAGCUUCCACUGCUCAGAAGACUGGAGGGCACCUCUCAAAUUUGCUCCCACAGACAUAUGAUGAUGAAGCAGCUUUUAGACUGACAGCUAACAGGGCAGGUUCUGCUUUGCAUUCGUCUGGCCAAGGUAGUAUGGACUCAGCAGGCUUGGAAGAGGAUCUGGUAGAUAUUGGCUCUCUUGGUGUACUUGAUCCCAAUUGCAAUGAGAAGUUGAGUGAAGAAAAUUUGGUUCUGUUCACAAGGCGUGAAGAUCUUCGGCAACGAGAUACACAGUUGAAGCAGACGAUUGGCGAGCUGGAGCAUGAACUAGAGGAAACAAGAAGGAAGUGCUCUCAGCUCGCAGCUGAGCUGCAGUUGCGGAGGAGCCAGCAACAACAUUACAUGUGA